rnacentral:rRNA from 1 species
AUCCUACGGGACGCAGCAGUGAGGAAUAUUGGUCAAUGGGCGGGAGCCUGAACCAGCCAAGCCGCGUGAAGGAAGAAGGCGCCAGGCGUCGUAAACUUCUUUUGUCGGGGAACAAAGGGCGCCACGCGUGGCGUUGUGAGUGUACCCGAAGAAAAAGCAUCGGCUAACUCCGUGCCAGCAGCCGCGGUAAUACAUAGGGGGCAAGCGUUAUCCGGAAUUAUUGGGUGUAAAGGGUGCGUAGACGGAAGAACAAGUUGGUUGUGAAAUCCCUCGGCUCAACUGAGGAACUGCAACCAAAACUAUUC